AGCAAGGCACCCAGGUUCUUAAGAUGGCGCUGCAGUCAUUCAAUGCCGGUGGUCGCGUCGUCUCCAGAUGAAACCGCACGAUAUUGCCAAAUUUUGCGUAACCUACCGUUAUUUAUUAAGCUGUAUUGUAUAAGGGAUCGUACGUAGCGCCUCUUUGACCGAAAUUUGGAAGAAGCACCCGCAAUGCUUUCCAUGUGCCACGCUGUAGGCCUGCAAGGUCAGGUCCUGUUCCCGCUGAGCCAUGUUGCAUCGUUGGUUGCAAACAAAAGCACCGGCCAUACCAACUGCAGUGCCAAAAAUUACCAGCGGUGGGGGAGGCAAGGCCCUGAGAGUGAUGUCUUGUGCUCUGAAAGCUUUUGCAAUGUUCUUUCCUGGCUUUCCAAGUCCAGUUUGCAGGAUCUUGCAAGACUUUCCUUGACAGAAACACAGUUCAAACAUCUAGCGCUCUCAAGUAUGGGAACUAGACGUGGGCAACAUAGGCCUUCCUGGCAUGUUUCAUGGUGUUCUGCAGACACAUUUUUUGAGAACAAGAAUGGCUUCACGAGGGAGCAGCUCAGGAGGAGUGUUCCUUUGCUGUCUUGUCUGUUCUUGGGCUCAAGCACUUCGUUGUACAGAUUCACAUCAUCGCUGGAAACCAAGCCACUGUACACACCUUACCAAAUUCGAGGGUUCAAGACGAGGAGUAGACAAGCAGGGGAUACCCAUUCAGCCCUUGUGAUGAAGGCUCCCGACUUGAAUGAGCGGUUUUUGGCCCUCAGAACAAGAAAGGACAAGGACAAGCAGAAAGUUCACUCGGAAACUGAGCACAAUGAGCGUCUGAAGACGCUUCUGUCCGAUGAAAACCUGACCCAGGAGGAGCAACAGAGACUUAGGGUUGCCUUUGCUGAGGGCUAUGUGGCGUGCGACCCCAAGGCCCGCACAAGCACCAAGCUCCGAGUGUUCAACAUCUUCCGUGACCUGUUGGGCAUCAUCUUGAUCCUGGCAAUCCUUUUUUCCUUCAUGGGUGAGCUCUCUGGGGGUCCUUUUAGGAGAGUUUUAAUUGGCACAACAAAUGAAGUGAUGCCUGAGGACAUUGAUGUCACUUUUGAUGAUGUCAAGGGGGUUGAUGAGGCCAAGCAAGAACUGCAAGAAAUAGUGGAGUUCCUCAAGAACCCCGAGAAGUUCUCCUCCUUGGGGGGCAAGCUGCCAAAGGGUGUGCUGCUGGUGGGCCCUCCAGGCACUGGCAAGACCCUGUUGGCUCGAGCUGUUGCCGGUGAGGCAAAUGUGCCCUUCUUCCAUGCGGCGGGUCCCGAAUUCGAUGAAAUCCUGGUUGGCCAGGGUGCACGGAGGGUCAGGGAUCUAUUCAGUACAGCAAAGGUGCGAGCCCCUUGUGUGGUGUUCAUUGAUGAAAUAGACUCGGUGGGAGCCAAGAGAACCAACUCUGUGCUGCAUCCAUAUGCAAAUCAGACCAUCAACCAGUUGUUGACUGAAAUGGAUGGUUUCAGGCAAAAUGAAGGCGUGAUCGUCCUUGGUGCUACCAACCGUAGGGAUGACCUUGACAAGGCACUGCUGCGACCUGGCCGCUUUGAUGUCGAAGUCCAGGUACCUGUGCCAGACCUGGUGGGUCGCAAGGAGAUUCUGCAGCUCUACCUCGGCAAGGUCAAGGUUGCUUCAGACGUGUCACUCGACGUCCUAGCACGUGGCACGACAGGCUUCACUGGCGCUGACCUGGAGAAUGUGGUCAACCAGGCAGCACUGAGAGCAGCCAUUGAUGCGGCACCAGCAGUGUCCAUGCGUUACUUAGAAAGUGCGCGAGACAAGGUCCUCAUGGGGCCGGAGCGCAAGUCACGCAUCCCUGAUGAGGAGGCCAACCUGAUCACCGCCUACCACGAGGGUGGCCAUGCCUUGGUGGCGCACUACUCCAAGGAGGCACAUCCGCUGCACAAGGUCACCAUUAUCCCCAGGGGCCCCUCGCUGGGACAUACUGCAUACAUUCCCGAGAAGGAGCACUACCACGUCACCAAGGCCCAGAUGAUGGCAACUAUGGACACACUCAUGGGAGGCAGGGCAGCCGAGGAGCUUGUUUUUGGCUCCGAGAAGAUCACUUCAGGUGCUUCAAGUGACCUGAAGCAGGCAACUGCUCUUGCCACCAACAUGGUCAAGGAGUGGGGCAUGUCUGAAAAGGUUGGUGUGAGAACAUUUGAUGAAGAUCACAGCUCCCUGAUAGUUGUUAAUGAGCUAGCACCAAACACAGCUGAAGUUAUCGACUCGGAGAUAAAGCGGCUCCUGCACGAGUCGUACGAGAGGGCCAAGGCAAUCCUGAAGACUCACCAGAAAGAGCACAAGCUACUGGCAGAGGCACUGCUCAAAUAUGAAACUCUUGAUGCAGAUGACGUCAAGCAGCUGCUGAGUGGGAAGGACCUGUCUCAGAUUCGCAAAAGGCAUUGGAAGCAGUGAGAAAAGUGCUUGGGAUGACUGAGAGGGCGAGAGAAAAAAAAAAGAGCAGCUAUUCUGAAGCAUGUUUACAAGUGCACAGAAUGCAUGGGACUUAAAGAAAGAAGAGUUGGACUUGUUUUUACCAGUGACCUUCUUCAGCUAGAGCAACAUGGACUUGGCAUGUAAAGAAGACUAAAUUUUAAAAUAAAACAAUACUGCAAGU